rnacentral:misc_RNA from 1 species
GAUGAAGAACGCAGCGAAAUGCGAUAAGUAAUGUGAAUUGCAGAAUUCCGUGAAUCAUCGAAUCUUUGAACGCACAUUGCGCCCCCUGGUAUUCCGGGGGGCAUGCCUGUCCGAGCGUCAUUGCAACCUUCAAGCGCGGCUUGUGUGUUGGGUCUCGUCCCCCGUGGACGGGCCCGAAAGGCAGUGGCGGCGUCCCGACAUGGUGCCCGAGCGUAUGGGAAUCCUCUUCCGCUCGAAUCGGCCCAUGCGGCGCUGGUCGUAACCAAAUUUUUUACCGGUUGACCUCGGAUCAGGUAGGGAUACCCGCUGAACUUAAGCAUAUUCAAUAAGCGGAGGA